GCCAGGAGUGGAGAUGCGCUCCUGUACUCCCAGCUCCUCGGGAGGCUGAGGCAGAGGAAUCGCUUGAACCCAGGAGGCAGAGGUUGCAGUGAACUGAGAUGGUGUCACUGCACUCCAGCCUGGGUGACAGAGCGAGAAUCUGUCUCAA
ensembl:misc_RNA Metazoa_SRP Metazoan signal recognition particle RNA